rnacentral:lncRNA from 1 species
UUGCUCCACCGAGGAAGGAAAUAAAUGCAUCUUCAACACCAGCUCUUAAUGCUAUAAGAAAACUUCAGGCCCAGAGAAGAUACCAACAUCAAACUCGGAUCAGGCAACCCUACUGGGGAUAAGCUGCAAAUAUUCCCAAGGGAACCAUCCUGGCUGAGGAAAAUGGAAAUGAAUCCUUUGUCAACAAACGACGUGCUGG